UGGGGAAUAUUGGACAAUGGGCGCAAGCCUGAUCCAGCCAUGCCGCGUGAGUGAUGAAGGCCCUAGGGUUGUAAAGCUCUUUCACCGGUGAAGAUAAUGACGGUAACCGGAGAAGAAGCCCCGGCUAACUUCGUGCCAGCAGCCGCGGUAAUACGAAGGGGGCUAGCGUUGUUCGGAUUUACUGGGCGUAAAGCGCACGUAGGCGGACUUUUAAGUCAGGGGUGAAAUCCCGGGGCUCAACCCCGGAACUGCCUUUGAUACUGGAAGUGUUGAGUAUGGUAGAGGUGAGUGGAAUUCCGAGUCUAGAGGUGAAAUACGUAGAUAUUCGGAGGAACACCAGUGGCGAAGGCGGCUCACUGGACCAUUACUGACGCUGAGGUGCGAAAGCGUGGGGAGCAAACAGG
rnacentral:rRNA from 1 species